CGCUGGCGGCGUGCCUAACACAUGCAAGUCGAGCGGAGUUAACAAGAGGAAGUUUCGGAUGGAAUUUUGUAAUUUAGCGGCGGACGGGUGAGUAACGCGUGAGCGACCAACCUUGCACAGGGGGAUAACGGACCGAAAGGUUCACUAAUACCGCAUGAGACCACGGUGUUGCAUGACACAGAGGUCAAAGGAGCAAUCCGGUGCAAGACGGGCUCGCGUCCGAUUAGGUAGUUGGUGGGGUAAUGGCCCACCAAGCCUAUGAUCGGUAGCCGACCUGAGAGGGUGAUCGGCCACAUUGGAACUGAGAUACGGUCCAAACUCCUACGGGAGGCAGCAGUGGGGAAUAUUGGGCAAUGGGGGGAAACCCUGACCCAGCAACGCCGCGUGAAGGAAGAAGGUUUUCGGAUUGUAAACUUCUGUCCUUGGUGAAGAGAAGAAGACGGUAGCCAAGGAGGAAGCCCCGGCUAACUACGUGCCAGCCGCCGC
rnacentral:rRNA from 1 species